GACGAACGCUGGCGGCGUGCUUAACACAUGCAAGUCGAACGGAAAGCGCUCUUCGGAGUGACUCGAGUGGCGAACGGGUGAGUAACACGUGGGUGAUCUGCCCUGCACUUUGGGAUAAGCCUGGGAAACUGGGUCUAAUACCGAAUAUGAUCACGGGCUUCAUGGUCUGUGGUGGAAAGCUUUUGCGGUGUGGGAUGGGCCCGCGGCCUAUCAGCUUGUUGGUGGGGUAAUGGCCUACCAAGGCGACGACGGGUAGCCGGCCUGAGAGGGUGUCCGGCCACACUGGGACUGAGAUACGGCCCAGACUCCUACGGGAGGCAGCAGUGGGGAAUAUUGCACAAUGGGCGCAAGCCUGACGCAGCGACGCCGCGUGAGGGAUGACGGCCUUCGGGUUGUAAACCUCUUUCAAUAGGGACGAAGCGCAAGUGACGGUA
rnacentral:rRNA from 1 species